rnacentral:snoRNA from 1 species
CUGCAGCCAAUUAAGCCGACUGAGUUCCUUUCCUCAUGGGGCCCAGUGUGCAAUGGCUGCAAACAGCAGCUUCCCUGGUAGUGAUGCAGCCUGUUUGUUGUAUGGGUUGCUCUAAGGGACCUUGGAGACAGUC